UACGAAGGGGGCUAGCGUUGUUCGGAAUUACUGGGCGUAAAGCGCACGUAGGCGGAUACUUAAGUUAGGGGUGAAAUCCCAGAGCUCAACUCUGGAACUGCCUUUAAUACUGGGUAUCUCGAGUCCGGAAGAGGUGAGUGGAAUUCCGAGUGUAGAGGUGAAAUUCGUAGAUAUUCGGAGGAACACCAGUGGCGAAGGCGGCUCACUGGUCCGGUACUGACGCUGAGGUGCGAAAGCGUGGGGAGCGAACGGG
rnacentral:rRNA from 1 species